rnacentral:tRNA from 1 species
GCAUUGGUGGCUCAGUGGUAGAAUUCUCACCUUCUGAAUGGGAGACCCGGGUUCAAUUUCGGUCAGUGCC